UGAUGAGGCACCAGGGGUGAAGCGAGACAGCGCAGGCCGGCCGGCUUAGAGUCCCCGUGCUUCCCUGGGGAAAGGAAGGGCCCCUGCCUCCCGGGGCAGGAACUAGGGCUUGUCUGGAGCUGGGAGUCCUUUCGGGUCUUCCCCAGCCACAAGAGGACCUCCCAAGGACACUCCCUUCCCCAGCCCUGCUGUGGGACUUAGACAAGAACGCGCUUAGAAUUAGGAUCACACUUCCACACUGUUAGGCAGCCCCUCCGCUGUUUCCAGAGUCAGAAAGUAGUAGUUUUGGGGUUGAGACUUAUCCAUCCAUCCAUCCAGUCCAUCCAUCCCUACGUUCUAAGCGCCUAGUCUAUACCAUGAAGUGUGCUAGGCACUGGGAGGACCUGAGCUGCUGAGGGAAGGGGAAAUCGGAGCCUUGAAUUGGAGUCAUAGUCAAGGCUCCAGGGGCAGAGACCUAACUGCGCCUUGUGUGUAGUGCUAAGGGGGCUUCCUGAGGAUGCCUUCAACCUUAAAGGCGGAUGGAUGGCAGGAGCUGGCUGGCUGAAGUACAGUUUGUGUACCAGGGGUUGGGAGGCAAGGGUGGGAGGCGUGUGUCUUCAGACAGGGAACAGCAUGUGCAGAGACUUCAGGUUAGAGAGAGCAUGACUCCCCAGGAAUGAAUGCAUUUCCCAUAGCUGAGAGAGUAUUAUCUGCAGGUUAGGGAAGGAUGAGGCUGGACAAGUAAAGACCAAAUCUUCCUGACUGUUGGAUCACCACAAUCAAGAUAAUGAAAUAUCCACCGGCCCCCAAAAUUUCCUUGUGUGAGGGGCUAUUUUAGGAAGUAUCAUCAAGAAGGGCGGGCCUGGCUGGGUACAGUGGCUCACGCCUGUAAUCCCAGCAC
rnacentral:lncRNA from 10 species